AAGAUCCUGGUUAGAUUUUGUUUUGUUCUAAUCUCUUUUUAAAAAAUAUUUUUUUUAUGGUGCACUGUAACUGAGACUCCGGCUAAAUCGUACAUUCUGAGCAAUUUUAAACUAAAUACCAUUCAAGGCUCCUUUUAUUUUAGGCAAUUAUAAAUUCUAAUUUUAUUAAAUAUAAUGAUAGAAAUUAUAAAUAUAGAGAAUUAUAAAUAAUGAUAAAUAAUGUAAAAAAUGGUAAUGAUAGUAAUUUAAUGAAUCAUAAAUAUUAUAUAUGUAUUAAUAAUAAUAUUUUAAUGAAUUAUAAAUAUUAUAAUGAAUUAUAAGAAUAAAUACAAAAUUAUAUUAAUUACAAGAUAUUUUUAAGCAUUAAGCUAUUAACAAAGAAGAAAUUAGUCAGCUAAUUGAAAGCAAAAUACACAGUUCUGAUGAUGAAGUUUUAUCUGACAAUAACAAUGUUAUCGAAUCCAGACACAAACAUGGGCAUAAAAAACACUACUGUCUAUAUUGUAAAAAACUUCUCUCAAAAAUCCCAAGGCAUUUAGAACAUAUUCAUAAGCAUAAAGAACUUGUUAUAGAAGCCCUUCAUUAUCCAAAAAAAAGUAAAGAGCGAAGAAAUAUGUGGACUUAUAUAGAGAGGAAAAGGUGAUUUUAAUGUAAAUAUAAAUAACAUUAAAAAUUCUAAAAAAAUAACAUCUGUAAGAAAAUGUACAGUCAACAAAGAUGAUGAGCUAUUGCCUUGUGAAUAUUGUUAUGGUUUUUUCAGAGCAAGGAAACGUUGUGAACAUGUUUCUAAGUGUUUUUUGCGUGGUAGUGAUAACAAGGAAAUAAGUUAUAUAAAAGCUUCUCGAAUAUUAGUAGGCCAAUCCAGUUUGACCGACAAUGCUAAAAUUGUACAUGAGUAUAUACUUACAACUAUGAAACAUGAUAAACUUCACCUUGUUAUUCGCAAUGAUAAGUUAUUAUUGACCUAUGGAGCAGUUGAAGUUGGUAAAAAAGAAAGAGAUCGUUACCAUGAUGUAGGCUAUGCACUUCGAGUUUUAGCUAAGUUAUUGUUGCAAUACAGAAAACAGUUUAAUGCAGAAGAUGCAUCUGCCAAAGAUUUAGUCAAUGCGAUAAGCUAUGAUAACAUUAUUUCUUCUAUGAAAGUUUGUGCCGAUUAUUGUGGACCAAGAAAAAUUGGAAAUCCUCGUCUUGUUUUAAGAAUAGGAUAUUCAUUAAAAACUUUAGCUAUAAUAGUCAAGUUAGAGUACCUGAAAUUAGGAUUGGGCUAUGGUAGAAAAAAGCAGGUGGAAACGCUAAACUGACAUAGAAGCUUUAGAUGAUCCAAUAGAAAAAAAGCUUGCAGAACGAUUUAAACUACUAUACAUUGAAGGCAAAAAAAACAACGGAGAUGUUCUUCUGUAAAAGCAUUAGUUCCAAUUAUUUUUACUGAGGAAGUUGUUGGUGCAAUCCGACUAUUAAUCAACUCAAGGCAUUAUGCUAAUAUUUCUCCAAAAAAUAAUUAUGUGUUUGCCCGUGGUUGGGACGCGCUGCAAUCUUUAACAAAAAAGCUUAAUUUAUCGAAGCCAAAGCUUAUUACACCAACUAGAAAGUAUUUGUCAACCAUUCUGCAGUUGUUAGACAUGAAUAAUGCUGAGCUUUUGUGGCUCACAAAUCACAUGAGGCAUACUAAAGAUGUUCAUCAAAAUUGGUAUCGACGUGAGGAUUCUACUAUUGAAUUAACAAAAGUAACAAAAGUUCUUCUUGCUAUGGAUAAUGACGAUACAAGGUGCAUUCAAAAUAAGAAAAUCGAUUCACUAUUACAAAAUAGUUUUGAAGGAAUUGGGAUAUCAAAUGUUAAUACAUGAGGAAGUGCUAAUGUUUGCACUUAUUCAGAUGAAGAUGUUGGAGAUGCAAAUAGCAAUGUUUUAGAUAAAAAUAUCAAUGUCAUUGAAAAUGAAUUAAUGUCGAACGUAAAAGAAUACAAAAUAAAAGACUAAACAUGCACAAAGAGUCAAAAAAACUUGGAAAGGUUGGUCGGAAGAAGAAAACGCAUCACUUCGUAAAGCGUUUUCGAUAUAUAUCACGAGAAAGAUUCCGUGUCCGCUUCUUGAUGUUAAAAAAAUUAUCGAAAGUAUACCUUGUCUUCGAAGGAGAGGGCAUAAGAUUGUUAAAAAUAAAUUAAACAAUAUUAUUAGAAAGAGAUGAUUUAUGCGUGUUUAUUUAUUUAUAUUCAAAUAAUGGUGUUUUGAAGUAGUUAUGUUGAAAUCAAAUUUAUUAACUUUGAUUAAAUAUUAUAUAAUUAUUUCAAGUGUAUUAUCAUUUUAAGUGUGUAUAAAAAGAUCAGUGUUAUAUUUGUAUAAUGAAUAUAUAUCAAAAGCAAAAAAUAUUUAUUUACUUUGUUUUUA
rnacentral:lncRNA from 1 species